rnacentral:rRNA from 1 species
AUUGAACGCUGGCGGCAGGCCUAACACAUGCAAGUCGAGCGAGCGGCGGACGGGUGAGUAAUGUAUGGGGACUGCCCGAUAGAGGGGGAUAACUACUGGAAACGGUGGCUAAUACCGCAUACUAUCGGAUAACCCAUAUGGGAUUAGCUAGUAGGUGGGGUAAAGGCUCACCUAGGCGACGAUCUCUAGCUGGUCUGAGAGGAUGAUCGGCCACACUGGGACGGGAACACGGACCAAAAUCCUACGGGGGCAGCAGUGGGGAAGAUUGGAAAAUGGGGGAAAGCCGUAUGAAACCAGGCCGGGUGGAUGAAGAAGGGCUUAGGGUUGUAAAGUACUUUGAGCGGGGAGGCGUUACCCGCAGAAGAAGCACCGGCUAACUCCGUGCCAGCAGCCGCGGUAAUAC